rnacentral:tRNA from 1 species
GCCUGGGUGGCUCAGUCGGUUAAGCGGCUGACUUCGGCUCAGGUCAUGAUCUCGCGGUCCGUGGGUUCGAGCCCCGUGUCGGGCU